rnacentral:Y_RNA from 1 species
UGCUGGUCCAAAGGUAGUUAUGUCACUUGAUUGUUCACAGUCAGUUACAGAUUGAACUCCUUGUUCUAGUCUUUCCCCUCUUCUCACUGUUGCACUAGACUAGUCUAAA